rfam:Ovis aries breed Texel chromosome 2, whole genome shotgun sequence.
UCCCUGGUGGCUCAGAUGGUAAAGCAUCUGCCUGCAAUGCAGGACACCCUGGUUUGAUCCCUGGGUCGGGAA